rnacentral:rRNA from 1 species
AACAAGGGGAAGACUCACAUAGAGGCAGCAGUAGAGAAUCUUGUGCAAUGAACGAAAGUAUGACACAGAGAGGACACAUUUAAUUGAGCCCGUCAAAUUAAGUGCCAGCCGACGCGGUUAAACUUAAGGGCUGGUCUUUAUAAGUAAAAAGGCGUAAAGGAUGUGUAGGCCAAGAAACGACCCAAGUAGGUAAAUGGAAUUUUUCUGGAGCGGUAGAAUGUAAGGAUAGAAAAUAGAAUUCCUAAGGUAAAAACUAUUUACCACAAGGUAGGCUGAAACAUGAGAGUGUGGGGAGCAAACAGGAUUAGAGACCCUGGUAGUCCACACUGUGAACUUUGAAGAUGAUGCUUAGCAGACCCGAAAGGUAAAAUCUUCCGCCUGAGUAGUACGAUCGCAAGAUUAAAAUUCAAAAACUUUGGCUGUUCACUAUUUCGAUUAGAGGAGCGUGUAGUUUAAUUCGAUGGUCCGCGUGUUACCUUACCCCAACUUGAAUCUGUGACCGGUAUUGCAUGGCCGUCGUAAGUUCGUGUAUUAAGCUAGAAGGGACCCAACCCGGGCAUUUGCCCGGAGGAAGUCAGGUCUUAUGAUCCGAAUGUUGGGGGAUUUUAUGCGCUACAUUUUCUUAUAUAAUGGGAAACCUGGAAGGUGAGCCUCUAAAGUAAGAGUUCGGAAGGUCGCUGUAAGACGACUGGAAGUUGGAUUUAAUAGUAAUCGGAAAGUAGGGCGUUCCGGUGAAUUGGUACAAGUGUUAGCACAAAUUGCCCGUCACCUUUACCUAGAACGGUUAUUCGG